UACGGGGGGAGCAAGCGUUGUUCGGAUUUACUGGGCGUAAAGGGCGCGUAGGCGGCCACCGCAAGUCGACUGUGAAAUCUCCGGGCUUAACCCGGAAAGGUCAGCCGAUACUGCGGGCUAGAGUGCAGAAGGGGCAACUGGAAUUCUCGGUGUAGCGGUGAAAUGCGUAGAUAUCGAGAGGAACACCUGCGGCGAAGGCGGGUUGCUGGGCUGACACUGACGCUGAUGCGCGAAAGCUGGGGGAGCAAACGGG
rnacentral:rRNA from 1 species